CGCGGGAAAAAAAAAAAAAAAGACCGUUGCCUCCCGCCAAAAAAAUAAAAAUAAAUUCCUGAGACUCGAAUAUCUUACGAUUAAUUGCUUUGAUAAACCUUCCUGAGAUAGUCUUCACAGUCUUCAGACCAUAAAACCCCGGGGGCUUUAUCACUCCAACCCUUCAAAUGUCGAUUCAAAAAUCCCAAACCUUAGAAAAUGAGAUUUCGGGAUAUCUCCAUGAAAGCCGAUCGGAUCGCUCCCGUCUCACCAUUGUCGCUGUCGCAGCAACAAACGCGGUGGAAGUCUGCAGUGACCAAGGCUUGGUUCGUGGUCUCGGAUUCCGGUGAGUCCCGCAUCGAAGAGGUCGGGAAGUACUCGAUCAUGCGGCGGACGGGCCUGCCAGCCCGUGAUCUCAGGAUCCUCGAUCCCAUGCUGUCGUAUCCAUCAACGGUGCUCGGGAGGGAGCGGGCCAUUGUCGUCAAUCUGGAGGACAUCAAGGCGAUCAUCACUGCUACGGAGGUGUUGGUGCUGAGCUCGAAGAGCCCGAUGGUUUCGGCUCUUGUCGAGGAUCUUCAGUACCGUGUGUUGAAUCUCCACAGGACGCCUCGAAAGGCAGCUGAGAGCAGUGAUACUGACAUGGGGGUGACAAACAAGGGUCCAAGGUACUCUCCCUCAUUUCUUUCUCUUCGCAAGCCAGAAAGCCCUUCUAGCAUGGGAAUUUCUCAACAGCGUCAUGUUUCCUUGGAAAAUUCUAUGAUGAUCCCUGAAAUGGAAGACUGCAGUCCUAGGUCUGAAUUGGAUGGGCCCAAGGACGGGUGUCCCAAGGUGCUACCUUUUGAGUUUAGAGUGCUUGAAGGUUGUCUUCAAUCUGCUUGCAAGUGCCUUGAAUCUGAGACUUCCAUGCUGGAGAAAGAGGCUUAUCCCGCUUUGGAUGAAUUGACCUCUAAAAUCAGCACACUUAAUCUUGAACGUGUUAGACAGAUAAAAAGCCGCCUAGUCACAAUAUCUGGGCGUGUCCAGAAGGGAUGAAGACUCUAAGAGCAAGGCCAAAAGCGGCUAUGUAAGCUUGAAUGGUUUUAAGCCAAAUAUUGAGGAGCUAGAGAUGCUUUUAGAAGCUUACUUUACACAAAUAGAGGGCACCUUAAGCAAAUUAUCAACUCUGCGGGAGUACGUGGACGGCACCGAGGAUUAUAUAAACAUCAUGUUGGAUGACAAACAGAAUCAGCUGCUGCAGAUGGGAGUGAUGAUCAGUACAGCCAUCGUGGUACUAACCUUGGCCGUUAUUACGAUGGCCGUAUUGAGCAUUAACAUCCAUAUCAAAAUAUUUGACUCUACACAACCACAAUUCCUCGAGAUGGCCUUUGGGACUGUAGGCUGCUGUGUUGUUCUAUACAUCAUAGCCAUUGGAUUGGGAAAGAAAACAGGAUUGUUGGGAUGAUGCAAAUGCUCCUGGUGGGCCAGAGGUGAAUCUUUCUUGCUUUGUUCGUUUGUUCUCUGAUUGGAUGUGGGACUAAGAGACUUUGAUGAUGUGUCAAAAAAACAUUGAUGCUUUGUUAAAUAUACUAAAA